CUAUAAUGCAGUCGAGCGGACAGAAGGGAGCUUGCUCCCGGAUGUUAGCGGCGGACGGGUGAGUAACACGUGGGUAACCUGCCUGUAAGACUGGGAUAACUCCGGGAAACCGGAGCUAAUACCGGAUAGUUCCUUGAACCGCAUGGUUCAAGGAUGAAAGACGGUUUCGGCUGUCACUUACAGAUGGACCCGCGGCGCAUUAGCUAGUUGGUGAGGUAACGGCUCACCAAGGCGACGAUGCGUAGCCGACCUGAGAGGGUGAUCGGCCACACUGGGACUGAGACACGGCCCAGACUCCUACGGGAGGCAGCAGUAGGGAAUCUUCCGCAAUGGACGAAAGUCUGACGGAGCAACGCCGCGUGAGUGAUGAAGGUUUUCGGAUCGUAAAGCUCUGUUGUUAGGGAAGAACAAGUGCAAGAGUAACUGCUUGCACCUUGACGGUACCUAACCAGAAAGCCACGGCUAACUACGUGCCAGCAGCCGCGGUAAUACGUAGGUGGCAAGCGUUGUCCGGAAUUAUUGGGCGUAAAGGGCUCGCAGGCGGUUUCUUAAGUCUGAUGUGAAAGCCCCCGGCUCAACCGGGGAGGGUCAUUGGAAACUGGGAAACUUGAGUGCAGAAGAGGAGAGUGGAAUUCCACGUGUAGCGGUGAAAUGCGUAGAGAUGUGGAGGAACACCAGUGGCGAAGGCGACUCUCUGGUCUGUAACUGACGCUGAGGAGCGAAAGCGUGGGGAGCGAACAGGAUUAGAUACCCUGGUA
rnacentral:rRNA from 1 species